UACGUAGGGUCCAAGCGUUGUUCGGAUUUACUGGGCGUAAAGGGCGCGUAGGCGGCGAGGCAAGUCACUUGUGAAAUCUCCGGGCUUAACUCGGAACGGCCAAGUGAUACUGUCGUGCUAGAGUGCAGAAGGGGCAAUCGGAAUUCUUGGUGUAGCGGUGAAAUGCGUAGAUAUCAAGAGGAACACCUGAGGCGAAGGCGGGUUGCUGGGUAGACACUGACGCUGAAGCGCGAAAGCUAGGGGAGCAAACGGG
rnacentral:rRNA from 1 species